AAAAAAAAAGUUCAAAACCUUCAAAAAAACCCUAUCAACUAAAGCUACCAACCAACCUCCCAUGGCCUCAUCUACCCAACCAACGCCUAACCGCCACCACUCUAACCUCUUCCACUCCGCCACCACUGCUCUUAUCUCUCUUAUCUCCACCACUAAAACGUCACCGUUUUCAACAAUCCCGCUAUCUCCUUCUAAAAUUUGCAUUCCUUUCCAAUUUGCUGACUCCUCUUAUCCACUCACCCAAGCCACCGGCUCCCCCUUCGACUCUACUCAGCCAGACUCGGUCUCUUCAAAAUCGGCCGCCGUUAAGGGCUUGUCCUCUGCUGAGUCGAACUCGGGCUUCCCAUCAACUGUCAGGAUUGCUGGCCUCAAAUCAAAUGGCAAGAGUGGUGGGCCCGCUUUCGUGGGUCAGGUUUUCAGCAUGUGCGACCUUUCAGGGACUGGGCUCAUGGCUGUCUCAACUCAUUUUGAUAUUCCUUUCAUUUCAAAAAGAACACCUGAAUGGCUCAAGAAGAUAUUUGCAACNNNNNGUGAGAGGAAUGGUCCUGUGUUCCGUUUCUUCAUUGAUUUAGGUGAUGCAGUUACAUAUGUUAAACGGCUAAAUAUUCCAAGUGGUGUGGUGGGUGCUUGUCGUCUUGAUUUGGCAUAUGAACAUUUCAAGGAAAAACCUCACCUGUUUCAGUUUGUUCCAAAUGAGAAACAGGUCAAGGCAGCAAACCAACUUCUCAAGACAAUUCCUAAUGGGAGGAGGAAGGUAGAUGGGGUUCCCGUUUUCACGGCUCAAAAUUUAGAUAUAGCCAUAGCUACUGCAGAUGGGAUUAAAUGGUAUACGCCAUACUUCUUUGAUAAAAACAUGCUAGAUAACAUUCUUGAAGAAUCUGUUGAUCAGCAUUUCCACUCUUUAAUUCAAACUCGGCACAUGCAGCGCCGACGCGAUGUGGUAGAUGACAACUUUGCUGCAGAAGUCAUUGAAGAAAUGGGAGAUAGCGUGUUGGAGCCUCCAGAGGUUCAGGAAAUGCUGGAUGAGAUGGGGCAUCCUGGAAUACCUUUGAGUGUCAUUUCCAAAGCUGCUGAAAUCCAGCUUCUCUAUGCUGUUGACAGAGUACUCCUGGGUAAUAGGUGGUUGAGAAAAGCAACUGGCAUCCAGCCCAAGUUUCCAUAUAUGAUCGACUCAUUUGAGAAAAGGAGUGCGUCUUCUUUUCAAAGAGCCUUCGAGUCAACUGGCUAUCUUGCAAACCCUAAAACAGGUGAUGGCACUUCUAAGUGCAAAUUAAAAGACAAUGCUCAAGCCAAUCAUGAACAGAAAACAGAUUUGCCAGAUCUGCGGCUCCCAUUUGGAGAUUGGUUUGGGCAUCCAUGGUUGAAACAAAAGUGGAAACCUGAAAAGCAAUCAGAAAUAAGAUCACAUGACCCAUCAAGUGAAUGCAGAAAGCAAAAGUUAGAGCCCAAUCCUUUUCUUCCAAAGAUUACAAUGGUUGGUAUCUCAACUGGAGAGGCAGGACAAAUGAGCAAAGCUAGUUUAAAGAAGACAAUGGAGGACCUAACAAGAGAAUUGGAGCAAACAGAUCGGGAAAAUGCCCCUGGCAGUAGCAAUAAUAUUAAUGAGUUAGAAAUUGAAUAUAGGGAUCCACUAUUUGUUGCAAAUGUGGGUGAUUACUAUUCUGGUAUGUCAAGGACAAGUUCACCACGAUGGGUCAGUGGAGGAAGCAACUGAAGUCUCCUCGAGAAAAGAAAGCUUCUCAGAAAUGUAAAGUUAAUAGUGUAAUGUUUAAUAGGUCAUAUAUUCUUGGCUAUGUCGCCAAUUUUUUGCGGUUCAGUUGAUGUGGAUGCAUAGUUGUGCAUUUACGUUAUGCUAUCUCACUAUUGUAAAAUGCAACUUAUUUUGUUAUAGAUCAUCUGUUAGCUGGGAUGGUGUUGUCGAUGUGACUUG
rnacentral:misc_RNA from 1 species